CCAGGGAGGAAGCUCCCUGCCACUCAGGUCAGGAAUGGUGCAGUAACAGAAAAUGAGCACUCUCCGCGGGCUCUAUUCAGGCGGCAUCCGGGAGCACAGGGCGCUGCCCCACGAUGCACAGUCCCCCUCCACGACGCUGGAGAGCUGGGCCUUGCGUCUGCCCUGCACACCCCUACAACUUCCCAGAGUCCUCUGGGCAAUGACUGAGGAGACAAGCCAUGCAGGAAACUAUG
rnacentral:snoRNA from 1 species